AAGGUACCUGAUGAAUAAACCACGGCUAAAUACGUGCCAGCAGCAGCGGUAAUACGUAGGUUGCAAGCGUUGUCCGGAUUUAUUGGGUUUAAAGGGUGCGUAGGCGGUUCCAUAAGUCAGUGGUGAAAUACAAUAGCUUAACUAUUGAGGUGCCAUUGAUACUGCGGAACUUGAGUACAGACGAGGUAGGCGGAAUUGACGGUGUAGCGGUGAAAUGCUUAGAUAUCGUCAAGAACACCGAUAGCGAAGGCAGCUUACUAGACUGUAACUGACGCUGAGGCACGAAAGUGUGGGGAUCAAACAGGAUUAGAUACCCUGGUAGUCCACACUGUAAACGAUGAUUACUCGAUGUUGGCGAUACACAGCUCAGCGUCUCAACAAAAAC
rnacentral:rRNA from 1 species